rnacentral:rRNA from 1 species
GAGUUUGAUCUUGGCUCAGAGCGAACGCUGGCGGCAGGCUUAACACAUGCAAGUCGAGCGCCGUAGCAAUACGGAGCGGCAGACGGGUGAGUAACACGUGGGAACGUACCUUUUGGUUCGGAACAACACAGGGAAACUUGUGCUAAUACCGGAUAAGCCCUUACGGGGAAAGAUUUAUCGCCGAAAGAUCGGCCCGCGUCUGAUUAGCUAGUUGGUGAGGUAACGGCUCACCAAGGCGACGAUCAGUAGCUGGUCUGAGAGGAUGAUCAGCCACACUGGGACUGAGACACGGCCCAGACUCCUACGGGAGGCAGCAGUGGGGAAUAUUGGACAAUGGGCGCAAGCCUGAUCCAGCCAUGCCGCGUGAGUGAUGAAGGCCCUAGGGUUGUAAAGCUCUUUUGUGCGGGAAGAUAAUGACUGUACCGCAAGAAUAAGCCCCGGCUAACUUCGUGCCAGCAGCCGCCGU